UCAUCCCACUCUUCACCCUUGAUUUCCAGUGCAUGUUCAAAAUAGUUGAUGGGUGAAGGAAUGCUGGCUGGUUUACGCUCAGAAAAAAGCCUCCACAAGUUCACAUUCAGUACAAUGGAAGGACAGAACCUGCCUGUACAAAUCUAUCCUACGCUGACCUAAGCAGAAGCAUUAGAGGUCAUAUAAAUGUUCCUUGUCUUAGUUACUGAAUCUGGUUUCUGUAAUCUGAAGACACAAUGAAGCAUCAGAAAUUCCUCCUGAAUUCUUCAACUGAGUUUAUGCUGCCAUAUUUAUUCUAAAAUUCUGGAAAUCUUGUGAAGGCAAGAUGCAAGUGAGAUUUCCAGUAUAUGCAGAACUGCAUCCCAGCCUUAUAUAUGGAAUGGUAAAUGUGUAUGCAAAUGUUCUUAUACUGAGUCUUUGCUGAAAAUUGGAGCUACUUAAUACAAGUGCUGAAUUUGGUUUCUUCUUCACAGAAACUUUCCAUAUACUGACGUAUAAGAAUGCAUUACUCAGUGUAACAGGUACAGUAGUCGUUGUAUAACUCUUCACUUGAAUUAGUAGAGCUUGCUCAGAUUCAAUGAUUACUUGAUAUUUAGCUAGCUUAAACAGAACUGAGAUCACAGGAAAAAGGAGAGCAUGAAGAAGUCAUCAGAAUUAUCUAGCUGUGAUUAGAAAAGAUACUUGCUUACAUUCCUGAAGUCAUCCCCUCAUUUUCAUGUUUACUGUCACUCUUUAAUUGUUUUUUAAUGUUUCUUUAAACAGUAUUAAAAUGAAUGGAAGUCAAAGUCCAGUUUUAACGCUUCACAAGACGUUGUGUUGUUUUGUAUGCAUCAUGUAUUAUAUAUGUAUUAAAUUUCUCCAAGCUAGCCUGAAGAUUUACUAACUGUACUUUGAGGCACAUUUUGUAUCACAGCAAUUUAAAAAAAUAAAUUGAAAUUGUCUAUUAUGCCGUAUUAGUGGAUGUAGAAAUAUGAGUUCAUACCUUUCAUUGAACUGUUUUAAAAGCCUACUUCCAUUAUUCAGGGGACAAAUGGCCACUUAAGUUCUACCAAGAUCAUUCUACCAUCCAGUGUUCAACCUGCAUGAAGUCUAAUUAUCCAUGCAGCUAGAGAAAUGUGAAAAAGCUGAAGCACAGAUCUUCUACAUAACCUACUUUGCAGUAUUUACAAUAACAUGGACUAAAACAUUAGAUUGGUACUCAUGUAAAGUUUAAUGUUUAUCGUAGUGUCUCUGCACUUGACAGUAGCUAAGUAAGCCCAUACAUCUGUUAUAUUUCUUUCAUGCUGCCCAUGUGUCCGGCCUCUGUGCCCAUCAGCAGUAAUGGUCCUCAGUGCUAUUACUGUAAUUCAAAGGCAUUAACCAGAAAUUAAAUGCAUAUUAGUUAUAUAGUACGAAAUUAUGUUAGCUGAUGUGUUAAAGGCUGCAAACCACAAUCUCAAUAGCAUUUUACAAGUACUACUGUGACAGAUAAGAAACAUAAGAAUAGGUCUUUAGAAAUAUUGUGCCUGAAAACAAUUCUGAAAGCACACUGAUAUUCUGAAAGCAUUGUUGGCUAUCUGUCAUCAUGGUUUAUCAGUAACUGACUGUCCUCAAAUUCCAGACAGCUUGUCUAAUCAUCUCCUGGUUUACUUACAGAUUUCAAAUGCUCACCAUUCCUGAUACAAGCCAUUGGCUUUCUUGGCUACCUGGGCACACUGCUGGCUCAUAUUCAGCCAACUGUCCAU